GGGGAACGGGGACGGCACCUCCGGACGACUUACCUUGAAAAAAUUAGGGCGUUCAAGGCGGGCGAAUCGUCGCCCCGAAUAGAUUAGCACGGGAUAACGGAACAGGGCUUCGGUCCGAGUUCGUUGGUUCCUACCUCGGACCGGAGCGCAUGAUUGAUAGGGACGGUCGGGGCCGCUCGCAUCGGGUCGUCAGAGGUGAAAUUCUAGGACCGACCCGAGACGAACGGGUGCGAAGGCGUUCGGCAAGGACGUUUUCGUUAAUCAAGAACGAAAGUUGGGGGAUCGAAGUCUUCAGUCCCCAAUAGUCCCGGGCCAACGCCCGGGGCUAGUCACGUAACUAUGGCGACACCAUCGAAUUGCGGGGAAGUCCUAGUGCACGGGCUACGAAGCGCGGCGGGUGACCUCCGCGUGGCCGGGUUAACGACCCCGGGUAACGUAACAACGCCCGUGACGAUCCCGCCUCGCGCGGGUGAAAGGGAUGAUCCGCAGCCAAUCCCCGUCCGAGCGUCGGACGGGAGCGUUCAGAGACUAUGCGGUGGGUGGGGGCGGGGCCGCGCGGGCCCCGUCAUAAGAUAUAGUCCAGCCCCCUGGUAACAGGGUCUCCGGGCAAAGCCCUGGCGGUAGUUACCGACGCGCGCGCAACGGCGCCGCGUUGCCGCCCUGGCCCGAACCCGGAGAUUUGGCCACGCGAACAUUGGUGUGACCAAAGGACCAACUGCGAAGACGAUCAGAUACCGUCGUAGUCUCGACCGUAAACGAUGCCGACCGAGGGCCCGGGGACGUUACGCAGUACGACUCCGCGGGCCCCCCUCGUCGAGAAAUCGGGAGUAUUUGGGUUCCGGGGGGAGUACGGUCGCAAGGCCGAAACUUAAAGGAAUUGACGGAAGGGCACCACCAGGAGUGGAACCUGCGGCUUAAUUUGACUCAACGCGGGAAAACUCACCGGGUCCGGACACGGUAAGGAUUGACAGGUCGACGGAUCUUUCUCGAUUCCGUGGAAAGUGGUGCAUGGCCGUUUUUAGUUGGUGGAUCGGUCCGUCUGGUUUAUUCCGUUAACGAACGAGACCUCGACCCGUCGAAUAGCUCGACGAGCCCGGCCCCGGCUUCGGCCGGCGGCCGAAGGCUCGCCCACGGCCGCAACGGCGGUUGUCGCCUGGCUGCUCGUCCCUCGGGGCGGGCGGUUGGGCGGAGCUUCUCGGAGGGACCCCCCGUUCUUCGAAGCGGGAGGAGGCGCGAGGCGAAAACAGGUCUGUGAUGCCCUUAGAUGUUCCGGGCCGCACGCGCGUUACAGUGACGCGCUCAACGAGCUUAGCCCCGGCCCGGAGGGGUCGGGGAACCUUCAGGACGCGUCGCGGUGGGGACAGACCGUUGCAACUGUCGUUCUCGAACCAGGAAUUCCUAGUAGGCGCGGGUCAUCAACCCGCGCCGAUUACGUCCCUGCCCUUUGUACACACCGCCCGUCGCUCCUACCGAUCGAACGGUCCGGCGAGGACUCGGGACGGUUCGGGACCCCCGCGGCCGCAAGGCUACGGGACCCGAGCCGGAACCUGUUCGAACCUUAUCGUUUAGAGGAAGGAGAAGGUCGUCGAACGGUCCGGCGAGGACUCGGGACGGUUCGGGACCCCCGCGGCCGCAAGGCUACGGGACCCGAGCCGGAACCUGUUCGAACCUUAUCGUUUAGAGGAAGGAGAAGUCGUGACUUGAUGCGACUGACAGUGACGCGAAGACCGUUGCUAGCAACAGCACCCCUGUUGCAGACCUUCAAAUGCGGGGAAGCCCUAAAGCCCGAGGUACCGCCAGCAUUGGGAAACCGGUGUCUGGCAGGCGGUUAGCGACCGCUGGAUGGUAAAAACCCGAGGGAUGAAGGCCGAAAGGCCCGAAGUGGGUUAUCCGCAGCCAAGUCCGUCGGCCAGUCCACGGAUGCAGUCCAGAGACUAAAUGUGGGUCGGCCCGGCCGCGCGUGCGGUCGGGCUUGAGAUAUAGUCCAUCCCCCAUCGAAAGAUGGGUCCCAGGGAGGAAACGCUAGCCAAGGUGCCCGUGUUGACGCAUGACACGGGGCAAACGUGGAGAGCCCUGGGAGCUUUGUCUACUUGUUUGUUGGUACAAACGAAUGGACUAAGUGUAGUAGAGCAGUGACGCGAAGACCGUUGCUAGCAACAGCACCCCUGUUGCAGACCUUCAAAUGCGGGGAA
rnacentral:rRNA from 1 species